rnacentral:ncRNA from 2 species
AUUAAUAGUGGUGAUGGCGCCCACCUGAGCCUUUACAGGCUCAAACGGCUAAGUAGCUAAUGGCUCCUGUUAGAUU